GGAUGUCCCACCAGGAUGGUCUUGCUUAGAUGCAAGUAUUCUCUGCAUAGUGCUGUGCGCAAGGAUAAAGAAAAUGAGAUAAAGAUGGACCAUCUGGGAAGGCCAGGCUGUCCUCCGGAGUCAUCAAGGAGAGAAGUUCUGGGAAGGAAGGAAGAUGGGAUGGGAAGAGAUCCCUCACUACUUGUGAGGGUAGCAAGAGAGCCCAGGGG